GGUCUCUCUCCUCUUCGGGCUCUCUCUGGUUGCAGGACACCAACAUUGAAGUCACCUGCUCGAACCAUCUCCCCUGGGCAUGGGGCUGCACAGCGGGCACCCACCCCAUCCCAGGACACUGUGGGGACCCCCAAGAAGCCACAUGGGAACCGCCCAAAGUCAGCAGCACAGAGCAGGGGCACAGCCCCCAGUGCCCACCUGGCACCACCACGUCCCAAAAGCACUCAGCAAGGAGGUGGCUCAUCUGGAGCAGCUUCCAGGCAUGUAGGGGUCCCCACCACUGUGACACCCCGAGCCCACAGCCCCAUCAAAACCUGUGUCCCCAGUCUGCAGCAAGAUGCCCACAGAGCAGUGCAGAGCAGGAAAAGCCCCAAGGAAGGGAACCAGAGAGCCCUUGGACGUAGCCAUCCAUCUUCACACCCAAAUUCCCCAAGUCAACCUCCAAAGCAGGACAGCAACAUUAAAACUCAGAAGAAAACCAGCUCAGCCAUCUGCCGGCCUCCCACCCCUCUGACCCAUUUUGCAAAUGGAUGUGAGAGUUGUGCUGCUGGGGAGAGUCCCCAAUGUCCAACCCCGAGCCCAAUGCCCAGGGACACUGACAGCCCCGCGGUGCCAGGGAGGGUCUGCAGCCACAGCACUGAAGUUUCAGGGCUGCGGGGGUCCUGGGGGCACUCUCAGCCCCCUGACUAUGGGAAGGUGCUGGAGGAGCUCACCAGCAACCGGCAGCCCCUGCGUCCUGUGGGGAUGGGCAACAGAGUGUCCUCAAAGCCCUCAACCACACAGUGUGCCAAUAUUCCAGCUGGGGGGUCCAUGGAAGGGCCAGUCGUGGGGGACCAGACCCCGCAGAGCACUGUGCCCAAAGCCCGGCGGUGCCUGAAGAAACCUGAGCGUGUGCCCUCCAUCUACAAGCUGAAGCUGCGGCCCAAGGUGCGUCCCCGGCGGGACCACCGGCCCGGGAAGGGUCCUUCACGCAUCCCCACCCCGCUGGGGCAGCGCCUGCCCCGUACCCGUGGCCAGCAUCGCCCCACAGCCCCCCCAAAGCCCCCACAACCCAGGGAUGCCAAGCCCUCAUUGAGUGACAGCAGUGCGUGGCUCACUGAGGAUGAUGAGGAGGCAUGGGUCUGA
rnacentral:lncRNA from 1 species